rnacentral:lncRNA from 1 species
UAAUUGGUAUGUUUAUGGAACGUUCUACUUAUCACGUCAGGAACGUAUCCUUCGAUAACUGCAUCCCAAAAAAACGUGUUGCGUAGGUAUCUGACAAUCCGAAAAUUAUGAACUAUAAUCGUUGGAUAGUUUACGUAAAACAAAGCAAUUUAGGGUAUCAUUAAAAAUGCUUAUAAUUGAUUCAAUCUGACAGUAGUGACUGACACGCGGAAGCGAUCACACCGUGAAGAGCAUAUCACCCAGCCUACUGUGUAGUAACAACGAGAUAAUCAAACGUAGCAAACCACUAAUUUCCAACGCAUAUCUCAGAUCAAAAGCAUGUUUAGCACCCCUGCCUGCUCUCCGAACAUUCAACAUUCACCAAUCGCAUCGAGCAAAUCGAUUUCCCUACCGCGAAGAAACGCUCAAUUAUUGGAGCUGAUUUUUCUUUUGUACACAUUUUUGUAGGACUGUUUUUCUUCGCUUUGGAAACCACCAACGAACAACACCGAAAAAAUUGACGCUAUGCCGUAAUAGUGCAACGCGAAGCAGCCUGCUGUGAUGUGCAUCAACCAACAACAGCAACGAAAGGCGACGGAGGAGGCCGGUAGUGUGCCUUCGAAACUGAGCAGGCUGUGAGAUUGGGGCUCAUCAUCGCCAUCAGUGCCGCGGAACGUAUCUCGGCGCUGGCUCGUGACGUGAAAGUCGCGGUAAGAGUGGAUCGAAUUAACGCGUUUAGGAACCAUCACCUGGGCCGUGAUUUUACUCUGCCUCAAAAUUAGGGCCAUCUGUUAUCGCGGAGGAAACAAAAGGUUAAGUUUGAUUAUCGGUCGCAAACAAUCUCAACGCCCAUGCCAGCCGUAAACACCAGUCUCGAAUACUUUCACGGCCAAUUAGUAACACAGGUGGAAAUCGAAGCAAAAAAUUAAACUAUUUGUAAACAGAACCCUCUCGGAAGUCUAUCUCGGCGCCGCCAAUGGAUGAGGACGGACGACGACUCGACCGGAUACGAUCGGUGAGCGAGCAUCAUCCGGCAUGGUCUGGUGAGCGCUUGGAAUUGUGAGACCGUACAUGACGGCUACUGCAUCUGCAUACAAAAGUGAACCACAGACAAAUGGACGUGACACUGACGAAAGUUUCAUAAACCAUUACAAAUUCGCUAUGUUUUAAAACUCAAAA